rnacentral:lncRNA from 10 species
AGUCCACUUCUGCCAGGCAAACACAGACAGUUUCUAGUUGCAAGAUAUCCCCCAUGGCAGAGAAAAAAAAAAGUUUCUUCUGGGAUGCAGACAAUCCAGGAAUCAGUGAUAAUCCACUGACCUUUCUAGGAAGUAAGAGCAAAGAACAAACAGGUUAGAUUCUGAGAAGCUGUUUCUAAGUUUGAUGGUUUUUUUUUUCCUAAGCCUGAGGCACUGAGAAGGGUUCAAGCUUGUAUUCUCCAGAUGCAAGCCAACCUAUUGCUGCAACUGACAAAUGAGUAUAAUACUGACACAAAUGUGGGCUGUUUUUGUUUGUGUGUGAAGACAUAUGUCAGAACUCCACUCAUCUGUCAAUGAUGGUGCAAAUAAAGCCCGAUUUCCACUGGCAGCUAUUAUAACCAGGAGAGGAUCCUGCCUUUGGCUAAGGCCAGCGGAAAGGAAGGCAAAUGGAGAGACACAAAGAGCCUGAAUCUUUGAGCCAUCACUCAGUUGCGAUCAAACUGCCUGGAACCCACCCCACCCCGAUCGCCUGCUCGGACAAAAAUAACUGAAGCUCCCAUUGUUCAAACCAGCUUGUGUCAUGGUUUCUGAUGUUUAUAACUAAGACCAAUUCAAACAAUACAAUAUUUUAAAUCUUUAUUAUUUUUUAAGGAAACAAUAGCUUAAGGGUAAAAACUCAUCUCUAAUUGUAAAAAAAAAUUAUCUCUAAUUGUAGGCUUUUGAAGUUAGGGUCGGUCAGUAUUUUUAGAUAGAAUCUUUCAAAACUCAGGAGAGAGACUCAGCUUAUUUCAUGUGUAUGAUGAGGAUGUCUCCUUUAUUCUUUUUCCUGCUAUCACACUUAUGCCAGGCUUUCUUUCAAAACUUAACUCACCCAGCUCCUUGUCUUUGAAGCCUUCUUUUAAUUCUUCUCCCACAUUCCCCAAAACCAAGUCAAUUCUCUCCCUCAGUGCCCUCAUGUGUAUAAAUUGCAUAUCAUAUGGCAUUUUUUUCAUGUCUGUAAGACUCCCAAUUUCCCAAAGG